UUUGUUGUCAGUUAGGAUUGGUUACAAAUCGCUUGGUUAGCGGAAAUCGCUGGAAAGCGAUGCCGAAGAAAGUGAAAGCCUUGUACGCAAAAACAAAGCGACCAAUUUUUCUUAAUCUUGAGUACCUCGAUGACAGGAUGCUUCGAGGGAAUCAUCCGGCACUAUCCGGAAAGGCUAAAUACAUCUGAUGAUCGAUAGCGAACUAGUACCGUGAGGGAAAGGUGAAAAGCAGGCCGACGAGGCCGUUGAAAUAGAACCUGAAACCAUAUGCUUACAAGGACUCGGAACACUAUCGCUAACGCUCAGUGUUCCUCACAAAUCCGAAGCACGAAAUCCGAAAACCGAAACAAUAUCUAAAUUCAAAUGAUUAAAUUCAAAAAAUUUUGAAAAUUUGAAUUUAGAAUUUCGAAUUUGUUUCGGAUUUCGAUAUUCGAAUUUCGAAUUUGGGAGCGCCGAGCGUUAGCGAAGUGCAACGAGGUGCCUAUUGAAGAAUGAGCCAACGAGUUAUUUUGCAUUACGCGUCUAACUUCUACGGAAGGAAGGCAUAGGGAAACCGAGUUUUAAAAGAGCGACGCUCUUUUGACUUACGACUUACGACUGACAACUUACGACUUUUUGUCAUUGGUUGUUGGUUGUUUGUCGUUGGUCAAUUGAGCACGUAGUGCGAAAUAGACCCGAAACCAGGCGAGCUUGCCUUGGCCAGGAUGAAUCCCGCAGAAAUGCGGGAGGAGGUCCGAACCGGUUGGUUGUGCAAAACCUUCGGAUGAGCUGAGGUAAGAAGUGAAAAGCUAAUCGAGCUUGGUAAUAGCUGGUUCUCUCCGAAAUAGCUUUAGGGCUAGCGUUCGGUAAAAACAUACAAGGGGUAGAGCUACUGGUUGAGAAGUAAAGGGAGAAAUCUCGACUUCUCGGUCAAACUCCGAAUACUUGUAUGGUAAGCCGGGCAGUCAGACCAUGGGGGCUAAGCUCCAUCGGUCAAAAGGGAAACAGCCCAAAUCGUCGUCUAAGGUCCCUAAAUGUUUGCUAAGUGUUAAAGGCAGUGAUUUGCCAUUGACAGAUAGGAGGUUGGCUUAGAGGUAGCCAUCCUUUAAAGAGUGUGUAACAACUCACUAUUCGAUGGCGAAUUGCGCCGAAAAUUUACCGGGGCUAAGCAAACUACCGAAGACACGGAUGCCUUGUGCAAAGCACAAGUGACUGACGACCAACGACUUACGACCAACGACAUUUUAAUUGUUGUUAGUUGUUAGUCGUAAGUUGUAAGUUACUCGCGCUUUGCGCGAGGCGUGGUAGGAGAGCAUUUCAUUUGCGUUGAAGGUUGACCCGCGAGGGCGACUGGAGUAAAUGGAAGAGAGAAUGUUGGCAUGAGUAAUCACAAUCCCGCUGAAAAAGCGGGACCCCGCAAAUCCAAGGUUUCCUCCGCAAUGGAAAUCAACGGAGGGUUAGGCGGUCCUAAGGCAAUGGCGAAAGCCGAAGCUGAUGGCUGACUGGUUAAUAUUCCAGUCCCCCGACUUUUUUCGAUGGGGCGACGAGAUUUAGUAGAUGGAGCACCUUAAUGGUUUGGUGUUCUUGAUCGAGGAUUUCCGAUAAGUAAAUCUGUCGGAAUGUCUUGCCAAAAGCGGGACAAAUCCCAGAGUAAAGACGAUUUCGGUUCAACUGGAAAAGUCUGUCGAGCAAAUCUCCAAGAAAAACCUCUAAGAUUGGAAAAGUCGGGCCCGUACUGUAAACCGACACUGGUGGAUGAGGCGAGUAGCCUCAGGGGAACGAGUGAUUCUUCGUUAAGGAACUCGGCAAAAAAGCGGCCGUAAGUUCGCAAUAAGGCCUGCCGUUCGCUUCGCUCACUGUUAGGUGAUGCGAAACUACAAAUUCAUCUGAAUCUACGAAUAAAAAUUUUGUAGAUUCGCAUAAUUAUUCGUAGUUUUGCAUCGGUAAUAGCGAGCGGAGCGAGCGGUUGCAACAAAAGUAUCCCUGGCGACUGUUUAACAAAAACACAGCUCCCUGCGAACUCGCAAGAGGAUGUAUAGGGGGUGACGCCUGACCGAUGCGAGAAGGUCAAGCCUGCCGGUGCUUUGGAGUAAUCUGGAGUGCUGAGCGGGUUAAGCCCUCGUCAAUGUCAGCGGUAACUAUAACCGUUCUAAGGUAGCGCAAUUCCUUUCCGGGUAAGUUCCGGAGCGCACGAAAGGCGGAACGACUGGGGAACUGUCUCAACGAAGAGCUCGGUGAAAAUGCGAUUCCCGUGAAGACGCGGGAUACCUAUAGCGGGACGAAAAGACCCCGGGAGCUUUACUGUAGCUUGAUAUUGUUUUUAAAAUUUAGAUGCGUAGCGUAGUGGGGAGUCUUUGAAAUUCGCCUUUUGGGGCGGAUGGAGACGCCAAUGAAACACCCAUCUUCUAAGUUUUAAAGACUAACCUGGAUGGCAAAAACAUUCGGGGACAGUGUCUGGCGGGCAGUUUUUCUGGGGCGGAAUCCUCCUAAAAAGUAGCGGAGGAGUCUAUCAAGGUCGGCUAAGAGCGGAUGGAAAUCGCUCUUGUCGUGUAAAGGCAAAAGCCGGCUUAACGGCAAGGCUGACAAGCCGCGCCGGUGCGAAAGCAGAGCUUAGUGACCCGACGAUUCUUUAUAGAAAGGUCGGAGACAACGGACAAAAGUUACCCCGGGGAUAACAGGCUGGUGAGAUCCGAGAGUUCCUAUCGACGAUCUCGCUCGGCACCUCGAUGUCGGCUCGUCCUAGCGCGGGGCUGAAGAAGGUCCCAAGCGUUUGGCUGUUCGCCAAUUAAAAGGACACGCGAGCUGGGUUCAAACCGUCAAUUUGGCGGCUUUUCCGAGUAAUUGGAAUUGCAAAAAACGACUCAUAUCGGUGAAGUCCUAACGUACAAUUGUAUUUCAACCUGUCGUAUGUUAGGAUAAUACCGAGGGAAGUUGCGUAUGAAUAAAGGUCUUUCGUCUACGAAUAAAGCUUAUCUUGCAGGAUUGCUCGAUGGCGAUGGAAGUAUUUAUGUAAGAGCGAAACUGAAUCCGAGUUAUAAAU
rnacentral:rRNA from 1 species